GCAACUCAUUCCAGUCUUCGCAACAUCGAGCAAACAACACAAAAGGUCCUCCAGUUAUACCGGUAAGCACAUGAUUUCAGCUGCUGAUUGAUCAGAGCCACUUCAAUUCCCUACUUUCCUUGCCCCUGCAAUAGACAUUCCCAUGAUGCAAAAACACUUCUUCUUCACACAUACUAGUGGUAGUAGCCAAGCCAGGCUCUCUGCAAACGGAGCUAGCCUGGUCAGCUUUGGCUGCAUGGGUGAAAACUGAAAAAGGGGCUGGUAGUAGCAGCACCGGCAAGGCAAAAACCUCGCAUUGAUAAGUUGGAGAAGCAGCCAUCCUUUUGCUCUUUUUGACCACCAGGAAUCUAUCCAUCUAACCACGCUAGCUUUUAACCUCCCCAUCUGUUUGUGAUCCACCUUGAGCUGCUCUCACUGCUUCAGAGGAUGGCAUUCAUUCAUGCAUUCCCUGAUCCGUUCCUCAUUCAAUUCAUUGUGCUGCUCACAUGCAUGUUCAUAUAGUACUUGUAUAUAGCAGCAAUGCAUUCAUGUCAUGUAUCUUCGCUUGCUUUCUUUUUCUUCAAUGGAUGGGUGUGAGUGUGUCUAUCUAAUGCAUGGGGUGUGGGCAGCUUUAGCUUUGCAGGCAGGCAGCCGGGCCUCGUUGAGGAUCGGCCUAAAUUGGGCUCUUUUUGGACUGUGGCUGGAACCUUUCUUCGUGCCAUAAAAACGAAACUCCCCAUCCGUCCGUUUGCUUUGCACGCAGCUUGCUUGCCUAGCUAGUUGCCUACCUGUAGAGCCUACUCAUGGCUGCUAUACUAUACUCCCUCCAUUCUAAAUUGAUCUACAUAUUUCAUAGAUACACAAAGAC
rnacentral:sRNA from 1 species